rnacentral:rRNA from 1 species
UACGGGGGGGGCAAGCGUUGUUCGGAAUUACUGGGCGUAAAGGGUUUGUAGGUGGCCUGCUAAGUCAGACGUGAAAUCCCUCGGCUUAACCGGGGAACUGCGUCUGAUACUGGAUGGCUAGAGAUUGGGAGAGGGAUGCGGAAUUCCAGGUGUAGCGGUGAAAUGCGUAGAUAUCUGGAGGAACACCGGUGGCGAAGGCGGCAUCCUGGACCAACACUGACGCUGAGGAGCGAAAGCCAGGGGAGCAAACGGG